GUUCUCACUUUCGCAGCACAGGUACUAAAAAUUGGAACGAUAAAGAGAAGAUUAGCAUGGCCCCUGCACAAGGAUGACACGUGAAAAAGAUAUCUAUGCCUCCAUGCU